rnacentral:rRNA from 1 species
UACGUAGGGCGCAAGCGUUUAUCCGGAAUUAUUGGGCGUAAAGAGCUCGUAGGCGGUUUGUCGCGUCUGCCGUGAAAGUCCGGGGCUCAACCCCGUGACUGCAUCCGAUACUGUCAGGCUAGAGGUAGGUAGGGGAGAUCGAAUUCCUGGUGUAGCGGUGAAAUGCGCAGAUAAUCAGGAGGAACACCGGUGGCGAAGGCGGACUC